rnacentral:lncRNA from 1 species
CAGGCUGGAGUGUAGUGAUCUCAGCUCACUGCAGCCUCCACCUUCCAAGUUCAAAUGAUUCUCCUGCCUCAGCCUCCCAAGUAGCUGGGAUUACAGGUGCAUGCCACCACGCCUGGCUAAAACAUUUUGAAAAGGGUUAAAUAAAUCAUGCACAAACUGAGGAAAAAUACUGUUUUCAAAAAUGGUGGAGAAGAUCACUAUGAUGAUGAAUGAUUCCACUGGUCACAUUAUUAAUAGAACAAUCAGUAAAUCCAGGCACAUCCUGGAGAUAGUACUGAACUCCUAUUACUAAAAUAUGAAAAAAUGGAGGCACGUACAUUACUCGUUUAAGCGCAUAAGGGACUGAAUUAGAAUUUAUCACACCAAAAGUGGGUUCCUAGGUAUCUGUUUCAGGAUCCUGAGUUACACAGGUGUAAACCCGCCAUUUCAGGAGAUACCCGGUUAAGAAUCGGAUGGGGGAGGGGGGCUGGCCCUUGACAUGGAUCAGUCAUAAAUUAGGGGUUUGGGGCUGGCCCUUAACAUGGAUCAGUCAUAAAUUAGUGGCUUGGUACUCCGGGAAGAUAAAAUCUUCCCCAUUUGUCUAGUGAUUGACAAUGCGUGAAUGCUUUAAAAGUUGCAAUCAGCGUCCCUGGAUGGGCUCGAACCACCAACCUUUCGGUUAACAGCCGAACGCGCUAACCCAUUGCGCCACAGAGACAAGCACUACCAGUUCUAAUAGGCAAUAUAGGAAGGGCACACUCACUAAACUUCCUCCGUCCCUUCUAUUCUCAGCGCCCGCCUGGCAGGACGACUGAGCAAGGCUUUGGAAAACCAGAGAGAUUAGAGCGGUGAGUUGCGCUGGUCACAUUGGAUACCUGCGCGUUAGGAGAUUCUGGAGCCAGACGGAGAGCCGAAUGGCCUUCGCCCGCCCUGCCCCUCUCUUGCUUCAGAAGCCCCCAGAAACUCCGCGGUCGGCGACCCAGCCCGAGCCGCCUGAGGUCCCAAGGGGAAGCUGAACGCCUGCAGAAUGGGGAAAUGGAGAGAGAACCUGAAAGAGCCCCAAACUCGAGGACCUAUUGCUCCCCAAGAAUAACAUCUUCCAGAACUAGACAGAAACUAAGCGUCUGGAAACCCUGAAAUCCUUGGAGGAGUAGCAUCAUCCUGACCCUCUGUGCUCCUUUUGGCAAAGGACUUGCUUCCAUUGUUUGUUUGUUCAAUUGUCUGUUUGUUAAAUAAAUAAAACUCUUUUCAUAUAUCUUUAAAAGUACGUUGGUUCUAUUAUUUUAUGAUUACAAACAAUGCUGCAGUCAUCAUUCUU